UACGAAGGGGGCUAGCGUUGCUCGGAAUCACUGGGCGUAAAGCGCACGUAGGCGGCUUUCUAAGUCGGGGGUGAAAUCCUGGAGCUCAACUCCAGAACUGCCUUCGAUACUGGAGAGCUCGAGUCCGGGAGAGGUGAGUGGAACUGCGAGUGUAGAGGUGAAAUUCGGUAGAAUAUUCGCAAGAACACCAGUGGCGAAAGGCGGCUCA
rnacentral:rRNA from 1 species